GAUGAACGCUGGCGGCGUGCUUAACACAUGCAAGUCGAACGGGCCAUUUUCGGAUGGUCAGUGGCAGACGGGUGCGUAACACGUGGGUGACCUGCCCUCAAGUGGGGAACAACGCGACUAACGUCGCGCUAAUACCGCAUAAGUUCGCUUCUUCGGUGAGGCGAGUAAAGCAGCGAUGCGCUUGGGGAUGGGCCUGCGGCGGAUUAGGUAGUUGGUGGGGUAACGGCCUACCAAGCCGAUGAUCCGUAGGGGGCGUGAGAGCGUGACCCCCCACAUUGGCACUGAGACACGGGCCAAACUCCUACGGGAGGCAGCAGUGAGGAAUAUUGCGCAAUGGGCGAAAGCCUGACGCAGCAACGCCGCGUGGAGGACGAAGGCCUUCGGGUCGUAAACUCCUUUUCCGGGGAACGAGCAAGGACGGUACCCCGGGAAUAAGUCUCGGCUAACUACGUG
rnacentral:rRNA from 1 species